CCUACGGGUGGCAGCAGUGAGGAAUAUUGGUCAAUGGGCGCGAGCCUGAACCAGCCAAGUCGCGUGAGGGAAGACGGUCCUAUGGAUUGUAAACCUCUUUUGUCGGGGAGCAAAAGACGCCACGCGUGGCGUUCCGAGAGUACCCGAAGAAAAAGCAUCGGCUAACUCCGUGCCAGCAGCCGCGGUAAUACGGAGGAUGCGAGCGUUAUCGGGAUUUAUUGGGUUAAAGGGGUGCGCAGGCGGAAGUUCAAGUCAGCGGUAAAAUUGAGAGGCUCAACCUCUUCGAGCCGUUGAAACUGGUUUUCUUGAGGGAGUGAGAAGUAUGCGGAAGGCGUGGUGUAGCGGUGAUAUGCAGAGAGAUAACGCAGAACUCCGAUUGCGAAGGAAGCAUACCGGCGCUCAACUGACGCUCAUGCACGAAAGUGUGGGUAUCGAACAGGAGUAGAUACCCUUGUAGUC
rnacentral:rRNA from 1 species